rnacentral:rRNA from 1 species
AUUGAACGCUGGCGGAAUGCUUUACACAUGCAAGUCGAACGGCAGCACGGGGGCAGCCCUGGUGGCGAGUGGCGAACGGGUGAGUAAUACAUCGGAACGUGCCCGGUCGUGGGGGAUAACGUAGCGAAAGUUACGCUAAUACCGCAUACGAUCUGAGAAUGCAAGCGGGGGACCUUCGGGCCUCGCGCGAUCGUGGCGGCCGAUGUGAGAUGCGGUAGUUGGUGGGGUAACGGCCUACCAAGCCGGCGAUCUGUAGCUGGUCUGAGAGGACGACCAGCCACACUGGGACUGAGACACGGCCCAGACUCCUACGGGAGGCAGCAGUGGGGAAUUUUGGACAAUGGGCGCAAGCCUGAUCCAGCCAUUCCGCGUGCAGGACGAAGGCCUUCGGGUUGUAAACUGCUUUUGUACGGAACGAAAAGGCUCUGGCUAAUACCUGGGGAUCAUGACGGUACCGUAAGAAUAAGCACCGGCUAACUACGUG